GUGGGGAAUCUUGCGCAAUGGGCGAAAGCCUGACGCAGCCAUGCCGCGUGAAUGAUGAAGGUCUUAGGAUUGUAAAAUUCUUUCACCGGGGACGAUAAUGACGGUACCCGGAGAAGAAGCUCCGGCUAACUUCGUGCCAGCAGACGCGGUAAUACGAAGGGGGCUAGCGUUGCUCGGAAUUACUGGGCGUAAAGGGCGCGUAGGCGGACAGCUUAGUCAGAGGUGAAAGCCCAGGGCUCAACCUUGGAAUUGCCUUUGAUACUGGCUGUCUUGAGUACGGGAGAGGUGAGUGGAACUCCGAGUGUAGAGGUGAAAUUCGUAGAUAUUCGGAAGAACACCAGUGGCGAAGGCGACUCACUGGCCCGUUACUGACGCUGAGGCGCGAAAGCGUGGGGAGCAAACAGGAUUAGAUACCCCAGUAGUCC
rnacentral:rRNA from 1 species